GAAGUUUUCAGAGAUGAGAAUGUGCCUUCGGGAACCGUGAGACAGGUGCUGCAUGGCUGUCGUCAGCUCGUGUUGUGAAAUGUUGGGUUAAGUCCCGCAACGAGCGCAACCCUUAUCCUUUGUUGCCAGCGGUCCGGCCGGGAACUCAAAGGAGACUGCCAGUGAUAAACUGGAGGAAGGUGGGGAUGACGUCAAGUCAUCAUGGCCCUUACGACCAGGGCUACACACGUGCUACAAUGGCGCAUACAAAGAGAAGCGACCUCGCGAGAGCAAGCGGACCUCAUAAAGUGCGUCGUAGUCCGGAUUGGAGUCUGCAACUCGACUCCAUGAAGUCGGAAUCGCUAGUAAUCGUGGAUCAGAAUGCCACGGUGAAUACGUUCCCGGGCCUUGUACACACCGCCCGUCACACCAUGGGAGUGGGUUGCAAAAGAAGUAGGUAGCUUAACCUUCGGGAGGGCGCUUACCACUUUGUGAUUCAUGACUGGGGUGAAGUCGUAACAAGGUAACCGUAGGGGAACCUGCGGUUGGAUCACCUCCUU
rnacentral:rRNA from 1 species